rnacentral:rRNA from 1 species
UUGAACGCUGGCGGCAUGCCUUACACAUGCAAGUCGAACGGCAGCACGGGGCAACCUGGUGGCGAGUGGCGAACGGGUGAGUAAUGCAUCGGAACGUGCCAUUGAGUGGGGGUAACGUAGCGAAAGUUACGCUAAUACCGCAUAUUCUGUGAGCAGGAAAGCAGGGGAUCGCAAGACCUUGCGCUCUUUGAGCGGCCGAUGUCAGAUUAGCUAGUUGGUGAGGUAACGGCUUACCAAGGCGACGAUCUGUAGCGGGUCUGAGAGGAUGAUCCGCCACACUGGAACUGAGACACGGUCCAGACUCCUACGGGAGGCAGCAGUGGGGAAUUUUUGGACAAUGGGGGCAACCCUGAUCCAGCCAUGCCGCGUGAGUGAAGAAGGCCUUCGGGUUGUAAAGCUCUUUCGGCCGGGAAGAAAUCGCAUGGGUUAAUACCCUGUGUGGAUGACGGUACCGGCAUAAGAAGCACCGGCUAACUACGUG